AUUUGUUAUGCAUGACAUCACAUGAUGUAAAUCACAAGAAGUGACAUAAGAGAAAAUUCUGUAAAAUCACCAACAAACUACUCACAGUUUGAUUCUGCUGUAUAGAUGAAUUGCUCCCAGUGUCUCCCUGUCUCCCAGUGUCUCAGUCUCGCAAGUCACCCAGUGUCUCGGUGUCCCUAUGUAUCACAGUGUCAGUGUCCCCUUGUCGCCCAGUCCCAUAGUCUCCCAGUGUC